CCUCCAAACUGAGGCAGAACUGCAAACAUUCAGACCCAACUAAAAUGACAUUUGGUAGAGUCAAUCAAUACUCUCCAAGUUAUUUCCCCAAAUAGCCACACGUUUGGCUUAAAAGCACUUGGCUGGCUGCCCUUUAAAAACAUCCCGCAGCAGAAUUGCCAGGUCAGAGCCUGAAGCAAUUGCUGAGCACCAGGUGAGAAGGAGUGGAUAACCAAGGGAGCUCAGGUGCAAGCCAUGCACCUGCUUGACUGAAAGGGGUGGAGCCUGGAUCUACCCCUCCUCAUCCUCAUUUAAGAGAUAGCAGCCAAGGGAGCAGUAUCUCUUUGGAUAGAGACUGUGCUCCUGUUGAGCUAUCACUGGUCAUUGGAAGAGCUGCCUCCACUCCACAGCUCUAAGCGUCAGCGGCAAUGAGAAGCCUGUUUUUAUCACUAAAGCACACAAACAGUAAGCUGAGGACACUCGAGCACUGCCCUGGCGACUCACGUUGGUGACUCAGGACCAGUUGGUCUCACAGAGUUAACUCUCAAUUCAAUACAAAUCCCGUCUCUGACUAAAGCUCCAGGCAAAGUUUUCAACUCUACGGAGCGACGUUUUUCAGUCGGAGGAGGCAAGUCAUCCAGCAGCACAGCUUCAGCUUCUGUGGCCUUCCACGCUUGCUCUUCACCCUUGCGUUGCAACAGGACUUUGCACUGACUAUACUAAAACCAAGACAGCAGAUGUGAAAACCACGACAGCGUCAGGCUUCCGUACUUGGGUUCACUUUCCUAUGAAAGCAGAGGCACCAUUUUUACAGGCUCAUUUCUCAGAGUGGCAAAUUGCUGCGCUUUCACUUUUUGUCCAAGCUCCCUCCACCCUCCCCGAUGUCUUCAAACCCAGUGUCUCCACUCACCUGUGUCACCCCAAGUUCCUCACUGUCUCCAAACACCCACAGCUGAUGAGUCUCUCUUCCAGCUCUUUGUGCACUGGGUGAAAAAGCUAUCAUGCUCUACCACUCCUGUUACCACUUGUCGUCCAACCACUUACAUAAGCCCAUGACCUCUGAAAUAAAAGCAUUUGCUUGCACUUGGGUAGAGCUGGUUGGUUGGAAGAGAAAUCGGAGAGGAAAAUGAUUUAAAAAACAGUCACAGAAGCAAGUUUCCAGAAUAUGUAUUUUUGGUUUUCCUUUCAACUUUGCUAUUUCCUCUAGUCCACCACUGCUCACCAUCAAAGAAAAAAAGUUUCAACCAGCAAAGUCAAUUUGUUUAACAUUUCCACAUAACCUCCAGCAAAUGGGAGCAUCCUGUAGCACACGGAGUCACUGAAAGCCUUGCUAAGCACAGAUCAAAAGGAUGCAAGGAACUGGAAAAGAACAUUCACCUUAGGUUGUAAACAUUCAUUUAUAUUUAUACUAAACAUAUAAAUAGGUCUAGAGAGCCUGGUAUUUCUAACAUGCCAACUAUCUCUGUACUCUGGUGCCCUGCUCAUUAACAAAAACAGCUUCACUUUUGACCGAGAAAGUCAUGUUGCACGGUGCUUUCUCAAAAUGAGUUCAUUAUUUUGUGCAAAGGAAGGGAUGUUUUAAUCCCCCUUCAAUAACGCUGUUGGAUAGGACAGCACAUACAUACACGGCACCCACAGGGCAGCUCGUUUCUGUUAGCACAGAGGCAUCUGUGGAGGUCUGCGGAGGCAGUGGGGCUGAUGGGCACGGAUAUGCACACUGCAAACGUCAGAGCUGGGUUAGUAAUUUAAAUAACAAUAAACAGUAAAAUAAAUAUUUUCAAAGCUAAAUAACAAUCAAAACACAGAACAGGUUUUCCCAGCCCCUCUAAUUUGGACGCAAGGCGGUUCAAUAAGCUCAACCAUUCCCACGAGCACCCCUGGCUGCAGGCAUCACACUGUCAAAUCAGGUGCUAAAACACACCUGGACAGAAGUGUGCACAAGGUGGGCUGACGCUUUUCUCCAGAACAGCUUUGGAGGAGCUGUACAACAGAGGUCAUGCCUCCAGCACCAAAGUACACUUAAUAUUUAUCCCACCGCAAGGGUCAUUUUGUGAAAGGAGAGCAUACUUCUGCACACAUCAAGCUUGCCCCCGAGUUAGAGCAGCCUCUGGACCUGCACCCAGCACUUUGGUGGUGGUCCUCUUUCACAUGCCUGUCACGUGGGAGAGGCUGCCUUUGGAAAACAUGCUCUGAGACUCAGUUGCCCUUGCAAGCUUACGGGUUCCGGAGCAAAGCACACACAGUGGCUGCAUCCCAUCAGACACGCAAGGGGUAAAAAGUCAGUGCCUGAAGGCUGCAGGUCUGCAUUUCCUUGUGCUUCCUCCCCACAGCGUUAGUUCAAAGGAUGUGAUGCGACCACAGGAGUGCAGAGCAUCUCCCCAGCAGGUGGGUGACAACAGCUGGGCUGUGCCCUGGGGAGGGGAGCCCACACUUAGGCCUGCCACAUCCCACCCAACCCAUCUACCUCCGACGUGCCGCCGGGUGAGCGCACCAGUGCCAUCUGUUAGGAAAGCGUCACCUCAGUCUGCAAUGGGAAUGCCCACCUCAAAAUCCAUCCGGAAGAAGGUGGGGUUUGAGAAACACUCUCCUUUCCCCGACGUUUCCUAUCCUUUGCUCAGCACUGCCUGCUCGGAUGGCUGCCCACGCAGCACCAGGAUGCUGCAGUGCUCCAGGGACAUUGGGGCCUUACAGGCGAGGUUUGGUGGUGCCCAGGGCCAUCGCAGGCCAAACCUUCACAAACCAAACUCUCACAGAGCUCUGCUCUAAAGCCACUCAAUGCUCAGAAGAUCAGCUUUGAGCGGAAUGCAGAUGCAUGUCCACAGCUUCCUCCAGUAAUAACCUUAGAUUUCCCUCUGUGGCCAAAUAAUCCAUUUUGUUGAUCAAAUUAGCAAACUUUUGCUCGAAUCACAGGGGACGUGACGCUAUUUGUGACAGCUUGGGAAGGCUGUAAAUCAUCCACAGACUGUACCGGGAAUAUCACACAAGUCAUUGUAACGCUUUAUGGAGCGCACGUUGCUAUCUCGCACGAACCAUAUGUUGUGGUGUUUGUGUUAUCCAACCCUUACAUAAGCCGUUGAUGAAAUUACCAUCACAACACAACAGCGCCGAUGGGACGGAGAAGGGAAGCCGGGCGGCCGCCGCUUCGGGAUGGUGGGGAAGGCGCACCUCGCGGGGCUGGGGAUGAGAGGGCGAGCGGGACGCAGCGCGUUCACUCCAAAGAGCGGGGCUGGGGAUGGAGCUGAGCGGUCGGGAAGCCUACGGGAUGUUGCAGGAGGGAGCCGAGCGCUCCGGUGCGCUCCGGGCCGCUCCAGGACCCGCAGCGGUAGCGGUGCCAGCCCGGCGGGCCACGUGCCGCGCACCGCGGGCACAGACUCCACCUCCCCCG
ensembl:lncRNA